GGUUUAAACAUUAAUACAUACAUUCCAUAUAGAUUUUUUCAACCCAAAAUAGGUAUCAUGCAUAUUAUUAAAGUUUAUCUUGAUAAAAAAAAUAAUCGAAUCUAUCUACAUAGAAGCGUGUUAUUCCUAUUCAUGUUAAUAAAUGACAUGCAUGUAAAUAGAUGUCAUGGAGAAAGCACCCUAACGACAAAAAAAAAACCCAAAAAACCCCAACCAAACGACAUCUAGAGGGCAUUUUCAAUCUUCAACAAUAGACCAAAAAAGAAGUACAGCCAAUCUUUUUGAGAGUAUUAUAAUUUGGACUCUCUAAAAUAUUUUGCAACAAAUUUCUGAGUUUUACACCUUGCGGGAAACAUAUACGCAAGACAUUGGCAUCAUGUUUUAUGUUGUGCUAUUACACAACUGUUCUAGGUUGAGUGCUCAAACACAUGUUUAACCCCGUCAUAUUCUUUAUGUGCCUGUAGUCUAGUGGUUGUCGUUGGUGUAUGUUUGUCAUAUGUGUUUUCAGAUUUUUUUUAUAAAUAAGACUCUCUUUUUCGCGUGCUAGCUCCGAAAUUUUCUAAUUUGAUUUGUUUACAUUAUUCACGUCAUACCACAUCUCCUUAUUUUCAUGUAAUCUCUAAAAUUAAAACAAAAGUGAUAUCACAACCUAUUUACAUAUUUAGUCUAGUUUGUUAUAAAUAUAUAAAAAAAAACAUUUUUGUUUGAAUAGAUCCUAUUUGUCACACAUAAUUUGUUUAAAGGUCUAAAAAUUUCGGCUACUGUCAGUUCUGGUCAAUUUUGUAUUAUGUGUCCAAAACGGACGUUGAUUAGAGAAAGGCUAGAAAUUGGACGUCGAUUAGAGAACCCCACAAAUAGACGUCGAUCAGAUAGGAAUAAAAUUGGACACCGAUUUGGAAAGAUAUUUUAUUGUGACGUCAGAUUUGGACGUCGAUUUGGAGGAACGGAC
rnacentral:lncRNA from 1 species